rnacentral:rRNA from 1 species
UACGUAGGGGCCGAGCGUUGUCCGGAGUUACUGGGCGUAAAGAGCGUGUAGGCGGCUAGAUAGGUCCGUUGUGAAAACUCGAGGCUCAACCUCGAGACGUCGAUGGAAACCAUCUGGCUAGAGUCCGGAAGAGGAGAGUGGAAUUCCUGGUGUAGCGGUGAAAUGCGCAGAUAUCAGGAAGAACACCCGUGGCGAAGGCGGCUCUCUGGUACGUGACUGACGCUGAGACGCGAAAGCGUGGGGAGCAAACAGG